GGGGAAUAUUGGACAAUGGGCGAAAGCCUGAUCCAGCCAUGCCGCGUGUGUGAAGAAGGUCUUCGGAUUGUAAAGCACUUUAAGUUGGGAGGAAGGGCAGUAAGCUAAUACCUUGCUGUUUUGACGUUACCGACAGAAUAAGCACCGGCUAACUCUGUGCCAGCAGCCGCGGUAAUACAGAGGGUGCAAGCGUUAAUCGGAAUUACUGGGCGUAAAGCGCGCGUAGGUGGUUUGUUAAGUUGGAUGUGAAAGCCCCGGGCUCAACCUGGGAACUGCAUCCAAAACUGGCAAGCUAGAGUACGGUAGAGGGUGGUGGAAUUUCCUGUGUAGCGGUGAAAUGCGUAGAUAUAGGAAGGAACACCAGUGGCGAAGGCGACCACCUGGACUGAUACUGACACUGAGGUGCGAAAGCGUGGGGAGCAAAC
rnacentral:rRNA from 1 species